rnacentral:rRNA from 1 species
AGUGAACGCUGGCGGUAGGCCUAACACAUGCAAGUCGAACGGCAGCACAGUAAGAGCUUGCUCUUACGGGUGGCGAGUGGCGGACGGGUGAGGAAUACAUCGGAAUCUACUUUUUCGUGGGGGAUAACGUAGGGAAACUUACGCUAAUACCGCAUACGACCUACGGGUGAAAGCAGGGGAUCUUCGGACCUUGCGCGAUUGAAUGAGCCGAUGUCGGAUUAGCUAGUUGGCGGGGUAAAGGCCCACCAAGGCGACGAUCCGUAGCUGGACUGAGAGGAUGAUCAGCCACACUGGAACUGAGACACGGUCCAGACUCCUACGGGAGGCAGCAGUGGGGAAUAUUGGACAACGGGCGCAAGCCUGAUCCAGCCAUACCGCGUGGGUGAAGAAGGCCUUCGGGUUGUAAAGCCCUUUUGUUGGGAAAGAAAAGCAGCAGGUUAAUACCCCGCUGUUCUGACGGUACCCAAAGAAUAAGCACCGGCUAACUUCGUG